rnacentral:rRNA from 1 species
AGACGGUCUACGAGUUUGAUCAUGGCUCAGAACGAACGCUGGCGGCAGGCCUAACACAUGCAAGUCGAGCGAACCCUUCGGGGUUAGCGGCGGACGGGUUAGUAACGCGUGGGAAUAUACCCUUUGGUACGGAAUAGCCUCGGGAAACUGAGAGUAAUACCGUAUGUGCCCUUCGGGGGAAAGAUUUAUCGCCAAAGGAUUAGCCCGCGUUGGAUUAGAUAGUUGGUGGGGUAAUGGCCUACCAAGUCUACGAUCCAUAGCUGGUUUGAGAGGAUGAUCAGCAACACUGGGACUGAGACACGGCCCAGACUCCUACGGGAGGCAGCAGUGGGGAAUCUUAGACAAUGGGCGCAAGCCUGAUCUAGCCAUGCCGCGUGGACGAUGAAGGCCUUAGGGUUGUAAAGUCCUUUCAGAUGGGAAGAUAAUGACGGUACCAUCAGAAGAAGCCCCGGCUAACUCCGUG